rnacentral:lncRNA from 1 species
AUGAAAAGUCCGUCGGUUGAAAUCGGCGUCCAGCUUACAGACGUUUUUACGCAGAGUUUAUGUUCAGAAUUAAUCGUCGAAAUAGUGAAAUUCAUCAUCUACCAGAAACAAUUGAUUCCUUUUCCCCUCGAUCAUUUAAAACUCUGCAUUGCGAGACGAAAAAGCAUAGAGGACACAAGAAUUGACCAGACUUCCAGUAGAGACAACCAAACAGGAUCGACCUACCUUGUUGAAAAACAUUUGAAAAAAACAGUCGAUUCAUUGGACUUACUUGACUCCAUGUUCAAAAGCAUUAUUUCUGAGAUUGAAAACUGCGACUCAAACGAUCUUAAAGAAGUUCUGCUGGUGUUAGGAGCAACUAUUCUAAGUCCUCAAAACGUAUUCCGGAUAAAAAUCCCACAGAUAGAAAAACUGCAUUCAGAUAAAUAUCAUCCACCAAGAAAGCAACUUUUCAAUGUUCUCAGGUCACUGGUGGGCACUUCAAAUUUUGCAGAUCUUAUGUGUAAAGAAAUUAGCUCUAAAAAUUUAUUCAUUUUCUUGAAACUGAACGCAAGUUACUGCGUCAAGUCAAGUCAUCUCCUUCCGAAAGAGAACUUCAGCUUACCACUGAGAGCUCAAGAGUCGAUCAUCAAUAUACUUACAUUAGAUGGAAGUUCUGCAGAUUGUUGUUGUUCGGGUAUAAAAUUUUCAAUGACUCCAAUGUGGAGACCUCUCCCGCGCGGGCAGGUAGUGAAAAUUCCGCCACCACUUUAG